rnacentral:misc_RNA from 1 species
GGAUGCUAUGCAGUAGGCAGAGCAAAGGCAUGGAGAAAUGCCAGAAGAGAGUUUGGACGUCAUAGAAUAUCAAGAUUGUGGAGAGCAGUACAUAGAGGUGCCGGAAGUGUAACAAAGUGGUGUGAUCUUCCUUAGCCACUCAAUGAAGCCGACUGUCUAUUCACAUGGAAAGAAAUGUCCAAGACCCACACUAAAUACAUUUCUCUUUAAUGCAUUAACAUCAUG